AGGUACUGCUUCCUUCGUUCUUUUGUGCUAUGGUAAUCAUAAAAUGUCAGCUAAUAUCCAUUUUUCGGUCAGAUUUAAGAUCUAGUGCAGGCUGGUCUCAUUGACUCAGGCUUAAGUUCUGAAUUCUCAAGUCAAAAUAUCAGAAGAAUGGGGGGGAAAAAGAAGAAUGGAUUUAGGACCUUUUCCCAAGAACAAAAGGUUUUGAAAGAGAAGAGUUUUCAUUUAACCCGCGUUGAAAGAGAAUAAAAACCGACAAACUGAACUGAAGCUCUACCGCAAGCCUGACAGACAACACUGGAUUCUUUCCCCCAGCUAUAUUUUUCAUUUCCAGAAGAACCGGAGCUGCAGGGAAUUCUUCGACCAUCAGAAACAGUGGGUGAUCCUGUAAAGGCCUUUUAAGCAACCAGCCAUUUCUUUGUUUCCUGCUCCUUUCCCCUACUAGAUUUACAUGAUUGAAAACAACCACUCCUUGUCACUUGGUUUUUAUAGCUAGCCAAAUCAAGAGCUACUUUCGGAUUUUGGUAUUUCUUUUGCAAAGUAUCCAGUAGUUGGGAGGGCGUGACCUGAGAUUUGGGAAGGCAGAAAUUUGUUUCUCCAACAUUUUGUUCAUUAAUUCUGACCAAGGAAUCAGCAAGAAUUUUUUUUUUUUCAGAGUAAAACAGAAGCCAAGGAGCCAGGUCGUCUAUUUGUAUUGGUGAGGAUGUUAAGUCUUUUAUCUCAAGCACACUAGUUUCCAAAAUCUAUGAGCUUAGAAUAGAAGCUAAUAUGCAAGGCUACUCCGCUCUCUCUCCAUCUGUCCAUUCAUCCAUAUAGUUUUAAGUGGUAUUUUAACCUUAGAUACAAAUUCUGCAAAGGCAUCCUAAUGAAAACUACAAAGGAGCCAAAACCAAAGUAGUUUUUUUAUUAUUAUUAUUACAAGGGGGUUUGUAGUAUUAAGGAAGAAGAAGGAUUAUAGAGUUAGAGUUUAUAAAAAGGUAGGGGGGAAAGAGGCAGAAGAAACUUUCUCUUCUUCUUCUUCUUCCCAGAACAGUUCAGAUCUACUUAUUCUAAAGUAAGUAAAGGUAAAGGUUCCCCUCGCACAUAUGUGCUAGUCGUUCCUGACUCUAGGGGGCGGUGCUCAUCUCCGUUUCAAAGCCGAAGAGCCAGUGCUGUCCGAGACGUCUCCGUGGUCAUGUGGUCGGCAUGACUAAAUGCCAAAGGUGCACGGAACGCUCUUACCUUCCCGCCAAAAGUGGUCCCUAUUUUUCCUACUUGCAUUUUUUAUGUGCUUUCGAACUGCUAGGUUGGCAGAAGCUGGGACAAGUAAUGGGAGCUUACCCCGUUACGCGGCACUAGGGAUUCAAAUCGUUGAACUGCUGACCUUUUGAUCAACAAGCUCAGUGUCUUAGCCAGAGCUACCACAUCCCUUUUCUAUAGUAGGAUGGUCAUUUUUAGUUAAUGAAACUGCUUACUUAGUCUUAAAAUUGGUAUUUUGGAAAAUGUUCCAAUGGAGUUCAAUGGAACUUAUUUCUCUGUAAGUAUGAGGCAAUAAGAUACUAAACUUAGAAUUCAGUUCUAGGCGCUGCUUCUGAGUAAAUGAGUCAAGUAUAUUAGUAGAAUAAUCCAACAAAGGUCUACUCAGAUUUAACGUGUUUCCUAAAAAAAGGAGGGCAAUUCUAGUCCAGCUGGUGUAGAUAGGAAAUGUUUGUACUAAGAUAGAUAAAUAAAACAAAACAAUAAAACAAAACAAAAUAACCUCAGAUUCCCAGUUGUCAUUAAAACAAACAAACAAACAGCUUAACAGGAUGUGAAAGAAGCAUCUCAUUUGGAAUAUCACUUCUGAAAAAUUAGGGUUUUGAGUGAGUCUGUGGGACCAUGCAGGUGGGAGAGAACAGUAAAUAAAAAUGAACAUACUUUACAAUGGAAUAGGGAAGACAGAAAGUUAGUCAGUUGCGCAUAUUUCUUUUGUAGCAUUUGCCCUUUGCCCAAUUCAUUUGAAACUUUUGACAAUCCUAUUGAAGAGAGAGCUUUGAGUUAGUCUCUGACCCUGCACUGUCACUAGGUUUGAAAGUUCAUUCAGUUCAGCCUUGGGUGUCCAACAAGUAGACAGGGAAACCUGGAACAGGCAGAAAUUCAUCUGCCACUGUGCAGGAAGUCUUCCAGCUGAAUGCUUGCCCAACUCAACCCAAAUUGUAAUACUGGGAUGGGUCUUAUGAAACUGUAUACUAUGGAUUGAGAGCUCAGAGUAUGAAGAAGAAGGGCCUCUGGUGGCGCAACAGGCUAAUGCAGCCUAUUAUUAACAGCAACUGCUUGCAAUAUUGCAGGUUCAAGUCCCACCAGGCCCAAGGUUGACUCAGCCUUCCAUCCUUUAUAAGGUAGGUAAAAUGAGGACCCAGAUUGUUGGGGGGCAAUAAGUUGACUUUGUAUAUAGUAUACAAAUGGAUGAAGACUAUUGCUUGACAUAGUGUAAGCCGCCCUGAGUCUUCGGAGAAGGGCGGGAUAUAAAUGCAAAAAAAAAAAAAAGAGGAAUCAAGAGAUAAGAUGUAGACUAGGGAACAAGUCAUGGGGUUUUAACUCAUACUGAUACAAUGAAGUUACUAUACACUCCUUAUUUUAUCCCCCAUUUGGAUCUUCUGUUUUGUCAGAAGAACCUGGUGAUUCCCCACCCCCUCAGAUUUAAGCACAUUCUACUAACCAGCAGUUCCUGAUUAAAUUUAUUCAACUGCAUAUACAACAGUGGUUUUUCGAGUAAAAAUCCAUGAAUCUACAUGUGGUGGAAUGCCUUCAGAUUUCCAAUUGGUGUUGUUCCAAUUAUGUAGCAGUGGUGGGCCUGAUGAAUUUAUCUUUUAUGCAGAUGUCAUAGUACUCCCUCAUCAUGACAGUCACGUCACAUUCGAUAGUAACUGUGGAGGAGAAAUAACAACAAAACCCAUCUGCCAUCAGUUUCUACAGUAAUGUCGUCCCAUCAGUUUCUACAAAUACAUUUCUCUGAUUGUGUAGGGAGAGACAUUUAGAGAGGGCUUGGACCAAAGGCUAGGCAGUAGUGGAAGGAAAAAUACAGAUGCUAGAAGAAGCCUGGGAUGAAUUUUAUUACAUAAAUCCGAACGUUUUGCUUUCAUUGGCCAAAGGCCAUAAUAGUAGCUUGAAGAAAAGAAGGAGAAAGAGUAAAUGGAAAGGACUUUUCCAAGUUAAGUAGUGACUGGUUACUGUGCCAGAAAGUGCUGCCCUUAUUUAAGUGAACAAUUUUACUUUGGAUGCAGGAGAUUACGUAUCAAGCCAACAUAUUGUUCCCUGCAUCAUCUCUGCAAUGCAUUGACACCAACUCAAAAUGUGAGGAAACAAAACAAAAUAAAAAAUGAAAUAAAACAAAAUGAAGACUGGUCUUGCUAAAUAUUAAAAUAUAGUUGUUGCAUAAUUCUGCCUACUACUUAUGUUGGUAAACCAACACUUAUUUCCAUGGGUGCGGCUUUAUGUCCUUGAAGUUAAUAACGGCUCAUUCAGGAGAAUUUGCAAGGUGAGCAAUUGCUUUGCAAUACAGUCUAGUUAAUUUCAUUACUGACUGAGGUUGAACAGUAGAAAUUAACUUGCCAGACAGAUCAAAGUCACAUGCACAGGGUUACUUUUACAGAGUUUCUGCUUUUCUCCAAAACUUUUACAGAGUUUCUGCUCUUCUCCAAAACUAUAAAUUGUAUGUUUUGAUUAUCAUAUAUUUUUUUUGUUUACAUUUAUAUCCCGCCCUUCUCCGAAGACUCAGGGCAGCUUACAGUGUGUAAGGCAAUAGUCUCAUUCUAUUUGUAUAUUUACAAAGUCAACUUAUUGCCCCCCCAACAAUCUGGGUCCUCAUUUUACCUACCUUAUAAAGGAUGGAAGGCUGAGU